UUGUAUGCAAUUUACUGAAGGCACUUCCAAUAAUAGUCAAAUGUGAACAUAAACAUAAAUCAAAGGUGAUCUAAGAGGACGACCACGACCACUACAGGAGAACAAGCGGCCGCUUCACCCGCCUGUCCCAGACCUCUCCUCUGCAGCACAGAGACAACUGAGGGUUCUGCCACCUGCAGCAUGUUCACACUCUGAAUGUAGCAGUGUUAGUAAACAGGGCCUUGAUGGUUGUGUCUGAAAUCGUUUGAACUUUGAUCUUUAAAAGUUGCGUAUGGGGUCGUGGAAAGGUGACGGUACACCUGCGCGAGAAAGUUUUAGUUCUGUCUGAGAUCAAUCAGCACUGUGUGUGUGUGUUUGGUAGUCUGUGACUGACUCUGUGACUGUGAUUUUAACUGCUGGGUUGAAAAUGACCCAAUGACAAUCUUUGUACCCAGGUGGUGUACAGCCUCCACUUUAGGAAAAAGUCCUAAAAUUGACAAAUUCACAAUUUUGGCCAUAACUCAACAAGACAUUUGACACAGAUGUCUUACAGGAUAAAACGGAUAGAAGUUAUGACAUUUUUUAUCCAAAAGGUCAAAGGUCAACUUCACUGUUACAUAAUAUUCCGCUAAAAAAUAUUCUGUGCAUUAUUCACCGCCAUAGAAUAGCACACAAGGAACUAUGACUUGACUGUUGCACGGAGGCAUACAACCAUGAGGCAGAAAUUUUAAUUUUGUGUAUUUCUUAAAAUCUUUUUUUCAGGGACGGUUUCACAAAGAUUUGUUGGACAGGUCUGUGGUCUUAGGCCUGUCUUCAUUUUGUUUUCAGACGAGUCGAAAUGCAAGCUAGACAGUUUAAACGAUUGUAACCUGACUUUGACAAACAAUCGCUGACUCCUGCUGACCAAGUGGUACGAAAUUACAAAGAGAGAAGCGGCUCACAACGUGUAGUUCGUUUUUAGAGAGCGCGGUAGCUUGUUGGAAAUGUACAGCUCUGAGGACAUCAUUAUCAUUCAUUUUUUCAAGGACGCUAUCCUGAGCCUGACUGAGUCCUGCCACACAGAGCCUCAGCUCUGCCACAGCACCUCCCUUCUGGGGCUGCCGAGGAUUGGCCCGACGCUGACCUCCUGCCAGUCUGCUGGAGGAGGAGAGGAGGAGAGCCGUUCGGACUGGGAGGAGAGGGUGAGGACGAGAGGAGUAAUGAGGAGGGGAGGAGAGCUUCCUGACAGCUUCUUGCCUCGCCUGAUAUACACGUACACAAGCACUCGGCAGAGUUAAUGUGAGGCUUCUUUCCCUCCCACAUCAUUUCCACUGUGGAAGCGCCGUGGUGUCAGCAAGCUCAAAUGUUUUGAUCCACCUCCACGAUGCUCAUAAGAUAUUCACCGCUCCAGUGGAGAGACGUGUCUACAGGGCCCCGGCUGUGAGGCGUGCAUGCAGAUAUCUGCUCUGUGUCUGGAGCUCGCUGUGGAGGAGAUCCCACCCAAGGCAAGGCUCCAUUCAUGCUGCAGCACGGAGGAUGUUAUGGAUAUGGCCUUGACAGCGCGCUCUCACCCCGAGGCCUGAAGAGGGACAGGAAACAGUUGGCUCUUGGUCGACUGAAGUGGUGCCUGGGACUUUCCCACACGCCUCAGGAUCCUCCUCAUUCAGCCUGGUCUGUGGUUGGGGCGUAUGUCUGCACCACUUCACACCAGGGAGAGGACGAGGGGGAGGUGUGUGUGCGUGUGUGUGGGAGGGGGGGAGGUGCGCGGGCUUACUGUAGAAGUUGGAGAAAACUUUUCAGAGGGGAUUCAUUGCCCCUUAACCGAGAGAACAGCAUAAAUUAUUUGCACUGGCAGAUGUUCACAGACCCAAAUAUGCAUGAAUUUGUAGAGCUGGCAGGCUUCCCUCAGCCAAACGUACUGGUUUUCACGAUGCGUGCAGGAGCAGUUGUUAUUCUGGCUGUUUUACAGAGAGCAUUAAUCUGAGCUGUCAGCGCCACCAACCACUUUGGUGGAAAUUAUUUCACUCCUUAAUAAGGGAACUCGGGUGCUGUAUUACAUAUGGCGGUCAGGGCAACAUUCUUGGUGGGUCUGUCAUCAUGUAGCUGUUCUCCAACAGUAGGCCCUCUGUGUUUGGCCUGCAGCACACUCUGUAACCCAGAGAUGAAAAGAAUACACUAACUACUAGACAUUAAAUAAAACCACUGCCUCUCACAUCCUCUGUGCUGGUGAAGGUGAAGAGUACCUCCUGCCAGGAAGAAGGAGAAAUACAAUAUUAUACUGA